rnacentral:pre_miRNA from 1 species
UGGACAAGUCAUUUAUCUUUAAGUGUACUUUUUCGGGUGAGAGUGGUCCUGAGAAUGAUUGACCAGGAAACAUAACUUCCUCAAAAUCAUUUCAAAACCACCAUCACCUGAAAAACUACAAACUAAGAUAAACUCUGUAAUA